rnacentral:rRNA from 1 species
UACGAAGGGGGCUAGCGUUGCUCGGAAUCACUGGGCUUAAAGCGUGUGUAGGCGGGCCCGUAAGUGUCUUGUGAAAUCCCACGGCUCAACCGUGGAACUGCUGGGCAUACUGCGGGUCUUGGGCCAACUAGGGGCAGCCGGAACAAGCGGUGGAGCGGUGAAAUGCGUAGAUAUCGCUUGGAACGCCGAAGGUGAAAACAGGCUGCUGGGGUUGCGCCGACGCUGAGACACGAAAGCCAGGGGAGCAAACGGG